GAACAUUUCGAAAACACUGAUCCAAAGAAGAUAAAAAUCAGUUACCACCUAGAACCAAAAGCUGUAAAAUAUUAGCAUACAUUUUUCUGGGGUUUUUUAUUCAGUGCAUCAUUUUUUUCCAAAACUAAGAAUACCAUACUUUAUAUGCAGUUUGGCAUCUUGUUUUUCUUAAUUUAACAUUUAGGUCUUAAUUUAACAUUCUAUGUCAAGAUUCUUGACAUAGAAAAUGGCUGCAUAAAAUUUCAUUAUGUAAAUAUAGCAUCAUUUAUUUAACCAAUUGCCUACUGUUGGAUAGUUUAAUAAUUCCUUAUUUUCACUAUAGCAACAUUGAGUGAAUAUUUUUAAUAUAAAUAUAUGAUUAUUUCUUUAGGAUAAAUAGAUAUGAGAGCAACUGCUGGAACAGAAGAGAUAAAAAAUUGAACCAAUUUAUAUUCCAUGUAUGGGCCUAUCACUGCAUCUCUCUAUCAACUCUCACUGGGUAUAAUAUUUGCAAGUUUGACUUGUUUUCAUUUGCAUUUCAUUUACAACUGGUGAAGAUUAAAAUUUUCUCAUCUGUUUCUUGACAACAUAUAUUUUUUCUUUUGUAAGUCAUCAGUUUUACCUACUUUUCCAGCAAGACGGUCAUUGUUUCUUAAUGACUUUUAAAAUCCUUUUAGAGAUUAAGGAUAUUAAUCUUUUAUGAUUAAAUGUGUUGCAAAUAUAUAUAUAUAUAUAGUGCCCAGGUAUUCUGGGAAUUCCCCAGAUUCCUGGUACUCCCCCUUCACUGAGCAAACCCUAAACAGAAUGUAAAGUAGCAUGUUCCCUGCUGCGGAAAAAAAACUCAGCAUGAUGAGAUGCCUGAAAGGUCAUCUAAUUCAACAUACUCAUUUCUCCCAUGAGGAAACCAAGGACUUGAGAGAAGUGGUUAAGCUGCUGGGGGCCCACACGAGGCCCAGAAACUGAACCAGCUGAGUCAGCACACUUUCCAUCUACACAGGAUUUUUUCAGAUACACAUUAUGCCUACAUUGUAUAGCCCAUACUUAAUUUCCUUAAUAUUUUAAGCACAAUGCUCAUAUAGCUAGAUAGACAUGCCAAAUUAUUCACACAGUAGCAACCUUUAUUUCUUUGCCUUUUUCCCACAGAAAGAUUUUAUUGUGUACUGAUGGCUUUUUACUCAAAAGGUAGCUGUCAAUGUUUUUUGUUUGUUUUUGUUUUUGUUUUUUGUUUGCUUGUUUUCAGAGUCUCACUGUCACCCAGGCUGGAGUGCAGUGGCGAGAUCGGCUCACUGCAACCUCCACCUCUCAGGUUCAAGUGAUUCUCGUGUCUCAGCCUCCCGAGUAGCUGGAAUUACAGGCAUGCACCACCACACCCGGAUAAUUUUUGUAUUUUUAGUAGAAACGGGAUUUCGCCAUGUUGGCCAGGCUGGUCUCGAACUCCUGACCUCAAGUGAUCCACCUGCCUUGGCCUCCCAAAGUGCUGAGAUUACAGGCGUGAGCCACCACACCCAGCCACAGCUCCCAGUUUUAAUAUAAAAAUACUUUUUAAACACCUGUUCCCUUUCUCAUCCACUUCCUUCGAGAUGGAUCAUCUCUUUUUAGGAGAAAUCAUUAAGCUUUCCAGCAUUCUCUAGAAGUAGGAUAACCCCUUAACUUGCAGAUUGCUUAAGCUAUAAAAGAAGUCAAGGCAUUUAAUAAUUUGUUCUGGAUAUGCAGCCCAGAGCACUGGAAGGAGUGAGGUGAUUUAGUUUUAGUUUCAGUGUGUAAGGCUGCCGAUAUGCAAUUGUUUGCAAAGGGCCCAUGUUGUGGAGUUGACAGUCACGGUUAGAUAUUUUUUUCUUUUUCUUUUUUUUUUUUUUUUUUUGAGAUGGAGUUUCACUCUUGUUACCCAGGCUGGAGUGCAAUGGCGUGAUCUCGGCUCACCACAAACUCCACCUCCUGGGUUCAUGCGAUUCUCCUGCCUCAGCCUCCCAAGUAGCUGGAAUAACAGGCAUGCGCCACCACACCCAGCUAAUUUUGUAUUUUUAGUAGAGAUGGGGUUUCUCCAUGUUGGUCAGGCUAGUCUUGAACUCCCGACCUCAGGUGAUCCGCCCGCCUCAGCCUCCCAAAGUGCUGGGACUACAGGCAUGAGCCACCGCACCCAGACAGUCACGGUUAGAUUUUCAUCUCCCUUGCUGAGCAGCAGUAUAACCUUGGGCAAGUCACAUAACUACAACUGCAAAAUGUGAAUUAAUCAUGCAUCGUUUGCAGGAUUUUUUUUUUAAGGCAACUGAAAAGAAUCUAUCUCCCAUGCCUAGAUGAAUGCCUGGCCCUUAGCAGAUAAGGAUAACAAUAAACACAUUUGCCAGACGCUGUUUGAAGUGCUUUAUAAAAAUUACCUCCUUUAAUCAUUACAACAAGACUGCAUGUGGUCAAUAUCAUUUUUGUCUCAUUUUUACAGCUGGGGGAACUAGGGCACAGAGAAGUAAAGUACCUUGUCCAAGAUGACAAGCUAAUGAGAAGAGAUGCUGGGGUUCAGACUCUGGCAGUCCAGCCUCUGAGCCCAUUCAUAGGUCUCUACCUCCCCUCUCCCUACCUCUCUCUUAGUGAGAGCCUGCCUAUCCUUCAAACCUUGAUGAAACUGAGCAAUCCUAAAACAGUGGCAGAGGGUGAGGAAGAAAGGCCGGAAAUACAUUUUUCUGCUGGUGGGUGAUUUCCUUCUUACUACAAGCCUGAUUUCUUACAGCAUUUUAAAGAUUCUUCCUCAGUCAGACACUCUCACACACCAUUUGAUGAGCAGAAGACCACCAUCUUUGCAGAGCGCACUUGAACAGAAUCCAGCGGCGUCCUUCGUGUAUUUGACACCCACAACUGAUCAUCUAUCAACCUCUCUCCUCUAGCUUAAACUCAGGACUAUGCUGUGCCAUAGAAGCU
rnacentral:lncRNA from 10 species